rnacentral:rRNA from 1 species
AUUGAACGCUGGCGGCAGGCUUAACACAUGCAAGUCGAGCGGGGGAAGGUAGCUUGCUACCGGACCUAGCGGCGGACGGGUGAGUAAUGCUUAGGAAUCUGCCUAUUAGUGGGGGACAACAUCUCGAAAGGGAUGCUAAUACCGCAUACGUCCUACGGGAGAAAGCAGGGGAUCUUCGGACCUUGCGCUAAUAGAUGAGCCUAAGUCGGAUUAGCUAGUUGGUGGGGUAAAGGCCUACCAAGGCGACGAUCUGUAGCGGGUCUGAGAGGAUGGUCCGCCAGACGGGGACUGAGACACGGCCCAGACUCCUACGGGAGGCAGCAGUGGGGAAUAUUGGACAAUGGGGGGAACCCUGAUCCAGCCAUGCCGCGUGUGUGAAGAAGGCCUUAUGGUUGUAAAGCACUUUAAGCGAGGAGGAGGCUACUCUAGUUAAUACCUAGGGAUAGUGGACGUUACUCGCAGAAUAAGCACCGGCUAACUCUGUGCCAGCAGCCGCGGUAA